rnacentral:lncRNA from 1 species
GGAUUUGCAGCAAGAACUUUAUCCACUAAUGCUUCGAUUGUGGCAGGAUCUACUAUCUGUAGUUCUCAAAUAAGAAAGAAGCUCCAGAUGAUCAAUGGGAUGUAAUUGCACAUGAGGAGAAAGAAGAAAAUGCUUACAAAAUUGCAGAAUAAUUCCUGAUCACAACUACAAUUAGAACUGUGGGUGGGCAACCUCCUCCGUAUUUCUUUUUUUCUUUUUUAAAAAAAACACUCUAGUUAGAACUUGCGCAUGUAUUACUUUAACUUCUCACAUGGAAAUAUUUCCCAAGCAUAUCAUCUUUUUAACCUCAAAGCAAUUACCAAAGAUCAAAAGAACUAGCAUCAGUAAAGGAAGUAAAGUUUUCCGCCUCCCUUACAUAGUUUCUAUAAGUUUCAGCAAGUGUUAGACACCCUAAUACGGUACACAAAUUUCAACACCUUUAAAAGGUUCACACAUUCCGUCACUUCAAAAUUGGAGUAGUAAAAAGCCUUAACCUUUUUCCACCAUGCUAAUACCGAGGAUAACUAAAACCAUAAUGUGAAGCAGUGAAUCUUCUACAAAAAGAAAGGAAAAAACAAGAGAAAAGAGAAAAGAAGACAAUGAUGAAGAGAUUUUGGUACUACUGGAAAGCCCAAAAUAUUACAACCAGCAUGCAAACAAAUGUCUAAGAAUUUUGCCA